rnacentral:misc_RNA from 1 species
GCAUAAUUCAAUCUUGACAUAGACCUUUGAUUUGCAGCUGUAACAGCAUCUUUUUCUAAAUCUGAUACAGAAGCAGAUGCUUCAUUUGUGCUAUAACGUGAAGGUUUGUCAACGGACUGACCAGAUUGCUUGUUUGGUGGAGGAGGUGCGUCAGCGUUAUCCUUAAAAGAUUGUCUGUACCUCCUUGGUCCCCGACCUCUGAUAGCUUUUGAAGGAUUACUCUGAAUGUUCUGGUUAUUAUCCUUAGUCUGAUCAUUACCAUUGAUGUACGCUCUGGGUUUUCUUCCUUGUGAAGCUCCACUAUCAGCCCCUCGCAUCCUACCACGACCUCGAUAGCGACCCCUUGAUAUUCUCCUAUCAUCGUCGUAAUUCCUCUGCUCCACAGUCAACUCUUCAAACUUGUCAUGGCCCCAUUUACGAUCAUCUUUUGAUUCCCAUAACCUUCUUCCGCCAGACAUUCGUUUUUGUCGCCCGCCUACAUUGUCUCCAAACCUAUCAUCGUGCAUAUAAAAAGCUCCAGUCUUGGGCACAGCAUAGGGUUCAUUUUCUUUUUUCUCUUCUUCCUGCGGCAAAUCAUGUUCAUCUCUAUCAACAACCCCUGGAGUAGAACCUCCUCCUUGCUCAACAACUUCCUUCACUCCCUCAGCCGCUUCCUCAACCACAGCCUCAACUUCCCCGUACAAUUCGUCUUCCUCCUCCUCCUCCUCUACAUACUCCUCAUCAUCCUCGUACACCGCCGCAGCACCUUGCCCCUCCGACUCAUCAUCAGAAUCAAUACUCCUUAAGGGCUUUUCUGUUUUUCCACUUUCUCCACCUCCGUCCUCAUCAUCACUUGCCUCUCUCCGCCUCAUCUUCAACGACAGCAUCGCUUCCUCCGGAUCGCUCUCGUAAUCAACAUCUUCCCCUCCUGUUCCUGUUCCUGUUCCUGU